UUAGCUAUUUAAUGCCUUCACACACAAACUUGUCCCUGAAUUCUAGGGCACUCUGGGACCUAUGUUAGAUCAAGAUUAGAUGCUUUUUGGUUGUUUCACAGAGUAAGGCUGGGGUCCUGCCAACCUUCCUUCAUCCUUCCUUCU